UGGGGAAUUUUGGACAAUGGGCGAAAGCCUGAUCCAGCAAUGCCGCGUGUGUGAAGAAGGCCUUCGGGUUGUAAAGCACUUUUGUCCGGAAAGAAAUCCUUGGCUCUAAUACAGUCGGGGGAUGACGGUACCGGAAGAAUAAGCACCGGCUAACUACGUGCCAGCAGCCGCGGUAAUACGUAGGGUGCAAGCGUUAAUCGGAAUUACUGGGCGUAAAGCGUGCGCAGGCGGUUUGCUAAGACCGAUGUGAAAUCCCCGGGCUCAACCUGGGAACUGCAUUGGUGACUGGCAGGCUAGAGUAUGGCAGAGGGGGGUAGAAUUCCACGUGUAGCAGUGAAAUGCGUAGAGAUGUGGAGGAAUACCGAUGGCGAAGGCAGCCCCCUGGGCAAUACUGACGCUCAUGCACGAAAAGCGUGGGGAGCAAACAGGAUUAGAUACCCUGGUAGUCCACGCCCUAAACGAUGUCAACUAGUUGUUGGGGAUUCAUUUCCUUAGUAACGUAGCUAACGCGUGAAGUUGACCGCCUGGGGAGUAC
rnacentral:rRNA from 1 species